CUGAGAAAUGGAUUAGUUUCUGCAUCCCUGCACAAAGAACGCGUAAAUCUAAAUAGAAGCCACUGGACCAAAGGAGGGUGAGCCUUAGUGCAAUGUAACAGCCUCUUCAAGAAGCAAAAGAAAGGAUGAAACUAUUUUCAGCUAAGGUCUGACCAGUUAAAGUUUCUGAUCAUAUUCCGGUGAUACAAGGAGGUCACGCCAGCCUUUUUCACCAGCAAGGCCACUGUGUAUGGUUCCCCUGUCCAACUAUAAGUUCCUCCAAUGUUUGCCAGAAUGAAAGUAGAUAUUUGUUGCAAAGUAGAGUUUUCUUCAGAUGCCACCGACUUGAGGAUGAUUUGCAUGGCCUCUUCCAUGAACAUACUUUUACCAGAUGAAUGUCCCUGCAUAUAUUCAAUAUCUGACCAGAUCAAUUCAGAUCACAACCUAUGGUAAUUGAAAUGCAGUUAUAUUUAAUUGAUUUAUAUAGAAAGAAGCAAAACAUGUUGAGGGAUAAAGUCCCAUAAUAAAGAUCUAAUCUUUUUCCUUGUGUAAGCAUGGACAAAUGAUAGUUUCUCCUGUGAUAUUUUAGCUUCCAAGUUACAGUACUAACCAGAACAUCUAACUGCAGUAAUAAAUUUGCUGCCAAAAGUUGGUAGUCAGCUUGAAGUUGUUGGACACACUGCAACAGCAAGUUCAUAAUGUCAUCACUUCCUUCUUUACGUAUCCGCUGCAACAGGCUAAUGGCUGAUGACCUGAAAAAAAUGUGGAAAAUAAUUGACGCUUAAAGCCAUUUCUGAUUAUUUUUCUAUCUAUCAUCCUUGGAAAUAAAUGAGAUGCUUGAUAUUGAUGACCUUUCCCUAUGUAAUGACCAUAAGCUGUGCCUAAUUUUUGUGCUGGGGUGAUGGUCCUGGUUGAUAUUAGAAUGCACAUACUGAUUGGGUAAUUUUUAGGUAACCAAAUUUCUCUUCACCCUAAAAUGAGAGAAGAUGAAAGGGAAACUCAUACCUUGGCAUGCAAAGGAUUUCAUGGAAAAAUUGAAGGGCUGUGAACUUGGCACGCUUCUCAUUACUUUGUAGUAGACGUUUAAAUGGAGCCAGAGGAGUAAGUUGUGAUAUAUGUUUUCUGCAUUGUCCAUCAAACUGCAUGCAUUUUAUAAAAAUUUUGGCCAUGGAGAUGCAUUCUUCCAAAUUAUUAUCUCUAGCAACAUCUGGGAGCCUACUAAGAAUAUGGGGAGAACUGAUUGCAGCCAACUGCAUGUUAUUGGUAUCGCAGUCAAAUGCAGUUACUAGUAUUUCAAUAAUCAUCAAUGAUGCUGCAGGAGGUGUCAGCAGUUCUGAAGCUGGUUUUCCUUUAUAGCUGUUUGAAGUGCACACAAUCUCCAUCAAUUCUGGCAAAAGUUCUAAUGUUUUUAUUUCUUCUGGGGGAGGAUUUAUAAAGUAGAUAAGAAUAGCUGCCUCAUGCAUAUUUUGCUUUAGAGCAGUUACCAAAUCACACAACCGCAAACCCUUAUUCUUGAUAUCUUCUAUAGCUGACUUGUUUAUUGACACAAUACUUGUAAGAAUAGAAAUUGAUGCCCUUGUGACAUUUUCCUCUUUAGAUGUUGAUAUAGCAGUCAGCAGCUGAUCCAGAAUAAAAUCCUUUAAGAUUGUGUAUUUUAUUUCUUUUUUGCUGUCUAACAUUUUGUAAACGGCUGUAACUUUGACAGCAUAGUCUUCCUCACAUUUUGCUAAUCCUUCUGAGAAGCAUAGUCUUGAAAUAAUUUUCUCAAGUAUCACCAUUAACUCACUGUUGGAAUCCUUUCCAGAUUGAAGACAAAGUUCAUUCAAGUUAUUUUGGCAGUGAGAGUACUCCUUCUUAUCCUUAACUUUUUUCUGGUCAUCCCUCUGCAUGAGCCUACAACUCUGCAAUGCUGCAGUUGCCACUUGAUUAGUGACUUGGGCAUUGUGUUUCCAUGAUGUCCUCUGAGCUGAAUUGUCUUCAACAUUGCGAUCCUGGAGGGCGCCUGACUUUUUAUUUCUAAGUUCCAAGAUGGAUAAAUCAAAACAACUGAUAGAAUCGGGGAAUCUUCCAGAAGAGAAGCUACUAAUAUUUACUUGAUCAACUUCCUGCACUUUUUGUUGAGAAGCAGGUGGAAAAUUCAUCAUUGUGCAUAGUUGGUCCAAUGUGAAGCAAGAAGCCUGCGGCAUCCUGUACAGAAAUAAAAGCACAGUUUCAAUAUCAUCUUCACCUGCAGUUCUGAUUGAGCUUAUACUUUCAUCCAUAUUUACCUGAUGUACAAAGGAUUAGUGACCAUUCAAUGGCUGUAAUUCUCAAAAAAUCUUGUUUUAGUGCUACUCAGCAACAAAAGACAAUCCCAUGCUUAUUUUAGCUUUCAAACCAUUACCUCUCCAUCAUCUUCUUCCAGAUAAUAACUGUAGCUUGAAUUUGCUGAAGUUGGUGUAUCUGAUUGGGAUUCCAACAGUACUUCCUUGAGGCAUUUGAUGCUUUUAUACUUUUCAGUCUGAAUUUUCAACUUUGGAACUUGAUCCAACUGAUUAAAAGCUUUAUUGUCAUCCUGAAGUUCUCGAAUUUCCGUGCAUGUCUUAGGUUUCUCUGCUGUAUCAUCAACUGUAUAUUGUUGAGGACCAAAUGGAUGCAAUUUCUUGUCCUGCAUUAACAGUAUAUUUUUUAAAUUCAGAACUGACCAUUUUUCUUACGAAA